GCUUACGGCCAUACCACCCUGAGAACGCCCGAUCUCGUCUGAUCUCGGAAGCUAAGCAGGGUCGGGCCUGGUUAGUACUUGGAUGGCAUUCUGCCUGGGAAUACCAGGUGCUGUAAGCU
rnacentral:rRNA from 1 species